GGGGCCGUAGCUCAGCUGGGAGAGCGCUUGGAUGGCAUUCAAGAGGUCAGGGGUUCGAUCCCCCUCGGCUCCACCA
rnacentral:tRNA from 1 species